rnacentral:rRNA from 1 species
UACGUAGGUGGCAAGCGUUGUCCGGAUUUAUUGGGCUUAAAGGGUGCGUAGGCGGUCUUUUAAGUCAGUGGUGAAAUACUCCAGCUUAACUGGAGGGGUGGCAUUGAUACUGGAAGACUUGAGUAUAGUUGAGGUAGGCGGAAUUGACGGUGUAGCGGUGAAAUGCGCAGAUAUCAGGAGGAACACCGGUGGCGAAGGCGGGUCUCUGGGCAGUAACUGACGCUGAGGAGCGAAAGCGUGGGGAGCGAACAGG